rnacentral:tRNA from 1 species
UGGGGAGUAGUGUAACGGUAGCACUGCAGACUCUGGAUCUGCCUGUCUAGGUUCGAAUCCUAGCUCCCCAGCCA